rnacentral:rRNA from 1 species
ACCUCCCUAGAAACAUCACAUGCCAUAUGGUCUGCUCUCGCAAACAUGUUCGCUGCACAAUCUAGGUCCCGCAUCAACAAUUGCCGCCUUGCUCUUUCCAAUGCCCAAAAGGGAACCCAGUCUGCCGCUACCUUCUUUGGCCACAUGCGAUCUCUCUCAGAUGAGUUAGCAGCCGCUGGCAAACCCAUAUGUGAGGAUGUGCUCGUCACUCACAUCAUAGCCGGGCUUGAUAUGGACUAUCAGCCCAUCAUCUCUGCCCUCGACGUCUGAACUGACACAGUUUCUGUCGACGAUCUCUUCACGAUGGUGUCCAACUUCGAUCAGCGCGUGGAGAUGUUCCACGGCACCGGGGCCGGCGCUUUCAAAUCCUCUGCAAACGCGGCCUCUCGGGGUCGUGGCGGUGGUGGUCGCUAUUCUCCCAAGAACGGCGGCGGUAGCGGAUCUCGCACUGGUGUAAAUCAAGGAGGCGGCGGUGGUGGUCGCGGCCACUACAACAACAGCGGCGGUGGCGGCGGCGAUCACUACAAAAACUCUGGAGGUGGUGCGGUGGCUACCAGAACUCCGGCGGCAACAACAAUUCCAGGCAGCGCCCCUUCUACAACAACAACAGAGGGCGUCCAGCUUUUCAGGGAUAUGAUGGCUAUGAAAAUAAAUGUCAGAUAUGCAAAAAAACUAACCAUAUUGCCAAGGACUGUGACUGGCGCUACGCGAAAGACAACUCUCACAAGAAGGUUGCAGCAGCCGCCGUGGACAACUCCUAUGGGGUCGAUACCAAUUGGUAUGCUGACUCUGGUGCCACCAACCACAUCACCCAUGAACUCGAGAAGGUGA